rnacentral:rRNA from 1 species
CGGCCCUGCCCCCGGCUCCGGCUGGGGCGCGCCCGCCAGAGGACCUCAAAACCUGAACGUUAGUGUCGUCUGAGUGCUAUAUAAUAGUUAAAACUUUCAACAACGGAUCUCUUGGUUCUGGCAUCGAUGAAGAACGCAGCGAAAUGCGAUAAGUAAUGUGAAUUGCAGAAUUCAGUGAAUCAUCGAAUCUUUGAACGCACAUUGCGCCCCUUGGUAUUCCGGGGGGCAUGCCUGUUCGAGCGUCAUUACAACCCUCAAGCUCUGCUUGGUCUUGGGCGUCACCGGUCCCCGGUGUGCCUUAAAAUCAGUGGCGGCGCCACCUGGCUCUAAGCGUAGUACAUCCUCUCGCUACAGACGCCCGGUGGAUGCUGGCCAGCAACCCCCCAUCUAUCAAGGUUGACCUCGGAUCAGGUAGGGAUACCCGCUGAACUUAAGCAUAUCAAUAAGCC